AACGAACGUUAGCGGUGUGGAUUAGGCAUGCAAGUCGCGCGCGAAAGUCUUCGGACGAGUAAAGCGGCGAAAGGGUGAGUAAUACGUAGUCAACCUGCCCUCGAGAUCGGGAUAACCACUGGAAACGGUGGCUAAUACCGGAUGGUCCCACCGGGAGGAUUCUCCUGGUGCGUAAACGGUAGCGAAAGCUUCUGCUCGGGGAGGGGAUUGCGGGCUAUCAGCUAGUUGGCGGGGUAAUGGCCCACCAAGGCGAUGACGGCUAGCCGGUCUGAGAGGACGAUCGGCCACACUGGGACUGAGACACUGCCCAGACUCCUACGGGAGGCAGCAGUAAGGAAUAUUGCGCAAUGGGCGAAAGCCUGACGCAGCGACGCCGCGUGGGGAUGAAGGUCUUCGGAUUGUAAACCCCUUUCGGGUAGGGAAGAGUGGAACGAGCAAUCGUUCGGACGGUACCGUCCAGAAGCAGCCGACGCUAACUUCGUGCCAGCAGCCGCCGUAAU
rnacentral:rRNA from 1 species